ensembl:lncRNA
CCCGGGGCAUUGGUGGAGGCAACCCAGCCUCCUUCCGCUCCGAGGUAGCUCCAGAAAUUCUUAGCGGCCAUCGGCCUCUCCGUCACCAGCACCAGCUCCUUCUCCAACUGGUAACAGUCCAGCAGGGAUACGUAUGGCGACGUCCCCUCUGAUUCGGCCGACAGCUUCAACAUGAUGGCGACCUCUACGGGGGUCGUGUUCCCUUCGUUGUCCUGUAACGCCGCGCCAGAGCGGCGACCUUCCUCUUGUCACCUCUCUUGCCAACAACCUCCACAGAGGUGUUGCAGCUUCCUACAAACGAGCAAAAAGACCCCGACGUGAACAGAACACCCCUCAAACCAAACCACAAAACCGUCUUCUGCUCGGCUGAAUCAUUUCUAGCAGAUCCUCAAAAAAAGAACGCUGGCUCAAUAAUUGAAAAAUUCCCCAACAACUCUGCAGAAUAAUAGUUAUAAAUUUCACGUGUGCCCCCUUGAUUAACAAUUUAACUAAUAAAUAAUAAUAACUUCACAUACGUGUCUUCUAUCGCCCAACAUCGUAGGUUAGUUGGUUUCUAUUUUAACACGCUCGGAUUACACUGACGGGAUGAGUUUUGUUAUGUUACUGUGGUCUCAGGUUUUAACAAAUAAGUCAAAUAAAUUAGGAAACAAUGGUUAAUUUGUCUGACUUAUUUGAUGGUUGAUGUAAGUUGAUGUACUUGACCGAAAAUUUAGUUGUGUUUGUGAUUUUUAAAGUUGAAAUAGGGUAUUUUCAGGUUGUCAGCUUACUGGUGUUGUGGAUCAUAAUGUUGAUUUCAGUUUGCUGUCUAUAUCAUGUUGAUCAAAACAUUCCUGUCAUCCACCAACCAAGAUCUUUGCCACUGUGAUAAGAUGUGAGCUUUACAUGUUUUAGGUUUACUUUUGAUGCCAAUAUUUCAUGUUUACUUGGAAUAAAUAAAA